GCAUGGAAUUGUAAUACAAACAAGUUGUGUGAUGUCAGGAUCAGGGGUCAAGGUGUGUGUAACCGUCAUCAUCAUCCACUGGUGCAUUUUGAACAGGAAGAAGGUGCUAGUCAUAAUACAGUAUCUGCAAACACUCUGAACACCUUAUUGAAUAUCAGUACUGUGUACAGUAACACUCAACCUAUAACAGUACUGUGGGAUUCAGGUUCUGACAUAACCUUGGUGACACACAGUAUGGCAGAAAAACUAAGUUUGAAGGGUAAGGAUGUGAAUUUAUCCAUGAUCAAGGUUGGCAAUGUAAUUGAACAUCAUUCUACCAAAGAAUAUUGCAUACCACUGAUUGAUAGGACUGGGCAUGUAUGGGAAAUUAAUGCCAUUGGUAUAGAGGAAAUAUCUGCUAAAAUCAAUGAAAUUAAUGUGUCAGGAGUUAAGGAGUUAUUUGUAGGAGUAUCAAACCAUGAUAUUAAUUGCCCUUGUGGUGAGAUUGACAUGCUGAUUGGGGCCAAUUACAGUGAAUUAUUGCCUAAAGUUGUUCAGACUAAUGAAGGUCUUCAAUUGCUAGAGAAUCCAUUUGGAUUCAGUAUACGUGGCAGACACAGCAAAAUAACAGCCUCAGGGAGCACGACGAACCAUGUGAUUGUGAGAACUCACAAGGUGUCAAGCUCAAUAAGCCUCAAUGAGAUCAAGGUAGAACCUACAGAUAAACUUAAGUCACAAUUAGAUAAAUUCUUUGCUUUAGAGGAGAGUGGGGUGCAGUGUGACACAAGAUGCCUUAAAUGCCUGUGUAAGGGUUGUCCUGUAAGUGACUGUGUCAAUAUUAAGGAAGAAAGAGAACUGAAAUUGAUUGAGGAGGGAUUAGUAUAUCAUGAAGAAGGGAAGUAUUGGACAGCAAGCUAUCCUUGGAUAAGGGACCCGAGACAUCUUAAGAACAAUGUAAAAGUGGCCGUGGCUAGAUUAAAAACUACAGAAAAUAGACUGAAAAUAUUGGAUAUCCAGUAUGCCCAGAGUUAUCACAAUGAAAUCAAAGACAUGGUGAAAAGGGGGGUAGCGAGACAAUUAAGUGAAGAGGAAAUGCAGUCAUACAAUGGCCCAAUUCACUACAUUUCCCAUCAUGAAGUAUUGAAACCAGAUUCUGCUUCAACACCUCUGCAUAUUGUAUUUAACUCAUCUUCAUCAUACAUGGGACAAAAACUUAAUGAUUUUUGGGCAAAAGGGCCAGUUGUUCUUAACAACAUGAUUGGAGUCUUGCUAAGAUUUAGACAGGAAAGGGUUGCCAUAACUGGUGAUAUAUCAAAAAUGUAUCAUUCUGUGAAAAUCAACACACUGGACCAACACACACACCGAUUUCUUUGGAGAGAUUUAAACAGUAACAGACCACCUGAUCACUAUGCCCUGACCUCAGUGACUUUCGGGGAUAGGCCAAGUGGGACCAUAGCUGUGCUAGCAUUAAGGCAUACUACAGAAAAAUUUGGUAAAGGAGAUCCUGAAGUUUAUAACAUGAUUGUAAACAACACAUAUGUUGAUGAUAUUCUCUAUUCCAUUGAUACGGUAGAAAAGGCUUUUGAUUUGAUACAAAGAGCAGAACAUGUAAUAUCUCUUGGAAACUUUCAUGUGAAGCAUUGGAUAGUAAGUGGGCAACAUGAGAACCAUAGUAUCAACAUCAUGGAAUCUGACAAUGAGAAAAUUCUAGGGCUCAAGUGGAAUCCCAAGGAUGAUAAUUUCUCUUUUAAUGUUAAGGUAAAUUUCUCUCCUAAAGUUAAAAAGAUCCGGAGUGGUCCAAACUGGGAUCAUAGAGAGAUUAAGCCAAACUUCCCUGAGGUGCUAACUCGCAGAAGGAUACUAAGUCAAGUGGCAUCCUUCUAUGAUCCAUUGGGGUUAGCUGUACCAGUUGUGUUGAGAGCAAAAAUUUUAAUGAGAUCUAUGAUCUCAAAAUGUGAUCCAAAUAAGAGAGUGGAAUGGGAUGAACCAUUAGAUGCCGAUAUUGUAAAUGAAUGGAAAUGUUUUUUCACUGAUUUGUAUGGAGUAGAAAACUGCACAUUUAAGAGACCUCUGAAACCAGCCAAUGCAUCAGGUAAACCCAUACUUGUGAUCUUCUCUGAUGGCAGCACACAAGCGUAUGGAGCAUGUGCGUAUGUUAGAUGGCAGACUGAUGACAACAAAUUUCAGACUAAUUUGAUCAUGGCUAAAAACAAAAUAGCACCUAUGAGACAAUUGACCAUUCCUCGUCUAGAACUUUGUGGAGCUCUUUUGUCAGCUAGAUUAAGAGAAACUAUAGUGAGAGAAUGCAACUGGGAAUUUGAAUCCAUAUUCCAUAUUGUAGAUUCAUCUAUUGUCAGAGAUCAGAUUCAAAAGGAAUUGCAUGGGUUCCGGCCCUUUGUGGCUGUCCGCAUAGCAGAAAUACAACUGAAAACAAAUCUAAAGGAUUGGUGGUGGGUGGACACAGUUCAGAAUGUGGCAGAUUUAACUUCUAGACCAUGCACUUCAGAUAAGAUUAAGGAGGAUUCAACUUGGCAACAUGGGCCUGAAUUUUUGAGAUUGCCAAUUUCAGAAUGGCCAGUUAAACAGCAAUGUGCAGAUCACUUACCGGAUAGAAUAGGCAUUACUAUGACAGUUGCUAAAGGACAUCUGAGAAAUUUAAGCAUGAUUAAUGUGAAAGGAUUUAGCAAAUAUGAAACUUUGUCGAGAGUUACAUGUAGGAUAAUGUCUAUAUUCAAACAUAAAUCCUUAAAAGCUGUGCUGAAGGAGCCUACGUCUGAGGAAAUGGAAGAAGUAGAAGUACUGUGGGUAAAAACCAUGCAAAGUAACAUGACUAACUGGCAAGACAGAUACAGAAGGUUAGGCCCCAUAAUGACAGACAAUGGAGUAAUUUUAGUGGGUCAAAGAAUAUCAAAAUGGUUAAAGGAAAACUGGAAUCAAGAUCACUUCAUGUUGAUACCAGCUAACCACCCAGUUACUAGACUGUAUGUGUCCAGCUUACAUAGUAGAGAUCAUGCAGGUAUUGAAACCACCUUGGCCAAGUUACAGAGUAAGUUUUGGGUGCCGGGAGCCAGGAAAUUAAUAAAGUCAAUUAAAGAUAAAUGUGUCACAUGUAGAAAACUCUCAAAACAAACUGAGAACCAGUGUAUGGGUCAGGUGUUAGAAGAAAGAAUGAAGCCAACUCCACCAUUCUAUCAUACUGCUGUCGAUUUGUUUGGACCAUUCAAUAUUAAGGACACUGUUAAAAGGAGAACUCAUGGUAAGGUAUAUGGGGUAAUAUUCAACUGCUUAGUUACUAGGGCAGUUUAUGUAGAUUUGGCAGAAGGAUAUAGUGCAAGUGAUUUCAUGGCAACUUAUCAAAGAUUCAUCUCAGUCAGGGGUGCACCCAGAAUACUGUAUUCUGACAGAGGGAGCCAGCUGAUAGCAGCUGGAAAGAAUAUUGAAAGAAUUGGAAAAAAUGAAGGAGUUACUUGGAAAUAUAAUAGACCUAGUGAUGCACCAUGGUACAAUGGUGCCAGUGAAUCCCUUAUCAAAUCAGUGAAAAGAAAUCUUUGUAUUGCAAUUGGGGAUUCAGUAUUAACUUUUGGUGAACUUCAGACAGCCUUAUUUAAUGUAGCCAGUAUGAUGAAUGAAAGACCCAUAGGGGUAAAACCUUGCUUUAAUUUAGAACUUGGUAAUUACCUCUGCCCUAAUGAUCUAUUGCUUGGACGAGCUAGUGUAAAAUGUCCACAGGGAAUAUAUGAUUCAGAUGGAGACCAUAAAAGAAGAUUAGAGUUUAUUCAGAAAAUUGUUGAAUCAUUUUGGAGAAAAUGGCAGAGAGAUUUCUUUCCAACGAUGGUAGUAAGACAAAAAUGGCACACCAAUAGGAGAAAUGUAAGAGUGGGUGAUGUGGUUUUAGUUCAAGAUGCUAAUGCAGUUAGAGGUACCUGGAAAUUAGCUCAAGUAAUAAAGGCAGAUCCAGGUCGUGAUGGUGCUGUAAGAGAUGUAGACUUAAGGUAUAAGAUAGUCAAGGAAGGUAAAGGAUAUGAUGGGGUGACAGACAAAGUCAUGAGUAGGUCAGUGCAUAGGUUAAUAGUGUUAUUACCUAAGGAAGAACAAGAGUGAUGAUGAGCGUGUAGGAUCAUUAUAGAUAUGAUUUAUCUACAUGUACCAAAGCAUUCUAUGUACUACCUGUGUAUAUUGUAUGUUCACUUUGGUCGGGGUGGAGUGUAUCAUUAAAAUGAUAUGUUAACCAUCUAUUAUUUAUUUAUACAAUAUAUUUUUGUUAUCUGUGUUAAAGAAAAUGUAAGUUGUGUUCUAUUGGAAUAGGAGAAGUUUGGUACGCUUCUUUGUGGUGUUUUGUUUCACCCACUACCUGUGAACAUGGUCGGCCUGGCGGGUUGUCUAAGCCGGCCCACCAAUGUACUGUGGGUUGUUGUGUUGGGUAGUCCUCUGUGCUACAGACGGAGAAUGUAGGGACGCCCUGGACCUCAUGUCGGUUGGUGUGUUGGUUGGUCCUCCGUGCUACAGACAGAGUUGUGAGGACGCCCUGGACUGGAUGAUAGUUGGGGUGACAUGUCAGGUGUGCUACGGGGAUUCGAAGAGCGUCAGUGUGGGCCACUGAAGUCGAAACACUUCAAGCAAUAAACACCUGUUACGAUUUGUGGUUUAUUACACAUUUGGAAUCCCCAACAUUUCGACUUCAACCACAAUGGGCUGGCAAGAGGAGAUGGAAUUGUUAAAGAGGAAGAGGGCCAUUGCCAAGGGGAAAUUCACAAGAAAGGUGACCCUGCUGGAUGAGGGUGUACGGGAAGGUGAGCCAGUAUCAGUAUUGAAGAAUAACUAUGAACAGAUUUCUGAGGCCUUUCAACACCUAGAAGACAGUAAUGAUGUGAUAUUAAAAUAUGUGUGUGAUAAUAAAUUAGAAGACAAGUUAGUUAAGGAGGCUGAAGAAUACAUGAUAGAUUGUGAAAGAAUCAUGAAGAAAAGACUAACAGAAAUUAGUAGCAUUGAAAACAUACAGAACAGUGUCAAGCCUAAAGUAAAGAUAAAGGCAUUUGAGCCUCCUAAAUUUGAUGGGAAUUUAAGAAAGUACCCUCGUUUUAAGGAGGACUUUAAAAAUCUAGUCAAAAGUGUGUAUGGUGAAGAUGCGUAUGCAUUGAAAAUGUGUCUCAGUGGUGAUGCCCUUCAGACUGUCAGAGGUGCAGAAGGUAAUUAUGAAGAGAUGUUUGAAAGGUUAGAUGACAAGUUUGGAAAUGCGAGAAAGGUGGUGGACUUGGUAAUAAGUGACCUUAGGGCUUUGAAAAGGAUCAAUGAAGGUGAUACCAAAGGAUUUAUAAGGAUGGUGGAUCAGGUGGAACAGUGUUGGCUAGAUUUGAAAAAUAUAAACUUGAAUGAGGAACUUAAUAUUGCUAAUGUAGUCAGUCAUAUUGAGAAGGUGUUGCCCACACUUCAGAAGAGGGAGUGGGUAAUAAAGGCAGAAGAAGUA